UACGUAGGGUGCGAGCGUUGUCCGGAAUUAUUGGGCGUAAAGGGCUCGUAGGCGGUCUGUCGCGUCGGUAGUGAAAACUCAGGGCUUAACCCUGAGCCUGCUUCCGAUACGGGCAGACUAGAGGUAUGCAGGGGAGAAUGGAAUUCCUGGUGUAGCGGUGAAAUGCGCAGAUAUCAGGAGGAACACCAGUGGCGAAGGCGGUUCUCUGGGCAUUACCUGACGCCGAGGAGCGAAAGUGUGGGGAGCGAACAGG
rnacentral:rRNA from 1 species